GGGUUGUGAGGUUAAGCGAAUAAGCGUACACGGUGGAUGCCCUGGCAGUCAGAGGCGAUGA
rnacentral:rRNA from 1 species